UACGGAGGGUGCGAGCGUUGUCCGGAAUCACUGGGCGUAAGGCGCGUAGGCGGUCUGCUAAGCGUGCGGUGAAAGCCUGGGCUCAACCCAGGUCUGCCGUGCGAACUGGUGGACUUGAGCACUGUAGAGGCAGGUGGAAUUCCGGGUGUAGCGGUGGAAUGCGUAGAGAUCCGGAAGAACACCAGUGGCGAAGGCGGCCUGCUGGGCAGUUGCUGACGCUGAGGCGACGGACAGCGUGGGGAGCAAACAGG
rnacentral:rRNA from 1 species